AUUGAACGCUGGCGGCAGGCCUAACACAUGCAAGUCGAGCGGAUGAAGGGAGCUUGCUCCUGGAUUCAGCGGCGGACGGGUGAGUAAUGCCUAGGAAUCUGCCUGGUAGUGGGGGAUAACGUCCGGAAACGGGCGCUAAUACCGCAUACGUCCUGAGGGAGAAAGUGGGGGAUCUUCGGACCUCACGCUAUCAGAUGAGCCUAGGUCGGAUUAGCUAGUUGGUGGGGUAAAGGCCUACCAAGGCGACGAUCCGUAACUGGUCUGAGAGGAUGAUCAGUCACACUGGAACUGAGACACGGUCCAGAAUCCUAAGGGAGGCAGCAGUGGGGAAUAUUGGACAAUGGGCGAAAGCCUGAUCCAGCCAUGCCGCGUGUGUGAAGAAGGUCUUCGGAUUGUAAAGCACUUUAAGUUGGGAGGAAGGGCAGUAAGUUAAUACCUUGCUGUUUUGACGUUACCAACAGAAUAAGCACCGGCUAACUUCGUG
rnacentral:rRNA from 1 species